CGACAGAUAAAGAAUGACAGUGUUACCCUUUACGUAUCUUUUGAUAAAAACGACAGUGUUACCCCUUAUGUUUUUCCCAUGAUGACUGAUGAAAAACAACAGUGUUACCCCUUAUAUUUUAUUUGACAAGGACAAUUUUUUUUUUUUCCAAAUAUGUUUUUUUUUCAUGACGACCAAUAAAAAACAAUAGUGUUACCCCUAAUGUUUUUUUUCAUGACGACCAAUAAAAAACAACAGUGUUACCCCUUAUGUUUUUUUCCCAUGAUGACUGAUGAAAAACAACAGCUUAUAUUUUAUUUGACAAGGACAAUUUUUUUUUUUUUCAUGACGACCAAUAAAAUACAACAAUGUUACCCCUUAUAUUUUAUUUGACAAAGACAGCAGUGUUACCCCUUAUGUUUUUUUUCAUGACU
ensembl:lncRNA